CUCCCCCCCCACUCUCGCCUCCCUCUCCCCUCCCUCUCCCCUCCUCCUUCCUUUGCAUUUCGGCAGCAGGCCGUGGUGGUCGUGGCAGCGAGAGUCCUCUGUAAAGCCAUCGUAAAACGCCGCACUGAUGGAUUCGCCGAUGGCGAUGGGAGAAGAUGAACGGAGAUGGAAGCGAGGAGGCAUGGCAGAGGAAGCCUGCGGUGGUCUUUCCGUGGCGGGCAGGUGAAAGUGACGUCAAGACUCGUGGCAACAUCCUCCUGAGAAGUCAUCACCGAGUAUGCAGACCCGCAGGUGAAAGUGGCGCCAAGACUCAUGGCAACAUCCUCCUGAGAAGUCUUCACGGAAUACGCAGACCCGCAGGGUCCCCAUUAGCUCGCAGGACGAGGAGGAGGUGGGAUGCUUCAUUCACCUGCCCAUUCACCUCCCCACCCUAACAGACAGGUGAAAUUGACGUCAAGACUCGUGGCAACAUCCUCCUGAGAAGUCAUCACCGAGUACGCAGACCCGCAGGUGAAAGUGGCGCCAAGACUCAUGGAAACAUCCUCCUGAGAAGUCUUAAUGGAGUACGCAGACCUGCAGGGUCCCCAUUAGCUCGCAGGACGAGGAGGUGGUGGGACGCUUCAUUCACCUGCCCAUUCACCUCCCCACCCUAACAGACAGGUGAAAUUGACGUCAAGACUCGUGGCAACAUCCUCCUGAGAAGUCAUCACCGAGUACGCAGACCCGCAGGUGAAAGUGGCGCCAAGACUCAUGGCAACAUCCUCCUGAGAAGUCUUCACGGAGUACGCAGACCCGCAGGGGGGGGUCCCCAUUAGCUCGCAGGACGAGAAGGAGGUCCUCGUGGGACGCAUUAAUUCGCCUUCCCAGUCGUCCACCCUAACAGGCCGGUGAAUGUUGCGUUAAGACUCAUGGCAACGUCCUGCUGAGGAGUGAUGGAGUUCACAGACCCACAGGGGGGGGUCCCCAUUAGCUUGCAGGACGAGAAGGAGGAGGUCGUGGGACGCAUUAAUUCGCCUUCCCAGUCCACCCUAACAGGUAAAAUGACGUUUGAUCGCCGUACGCUCCGGCGGUCAUCGCUUCUGUGGCAGGUGCUGUAGCAGCAACAGGAGCCACAUGAUGAGAGAGAUGAGUUGCGGAUCGCUGAGCGAAUGUCGACCCAACAUCUAUCACCCCUGUCUGAUGGCUCCUCAUCCUUGCAAAGGCAGGGAGUUGAAAGUGGCCGGGUCGUGGUGCUGGCCACCCACCCCCCUUCAUGUGUCACAGUGCCGGCCUUCAUAGGCGCUCCUCAAAGACAGCCCUCACCCCGACAGCCUCUGCAGGCUUCACAGGCUGGUGAAUGUAUUAAGACUCAUGGCAACGUCCUACUGAGGAGUGAUGGAGUUCACAGACCCACAGGUUCUCAGCAGUGAGCAGUGCACCACCGCGUAUGUCAAGAGAACAUUGGCCGCAAGUGGACGUACCUGAACUACAACAGACUCUCGAUUUACGUGUUAAUGACGGGGAGGACAGCCAAGAUCACAGAUAAUCCAAAAUAUGCAUUUUCCGCGGAUCUCCAUGCAAAAAACGAAAUUAUCAACUGAUCGAUGCACGUGCUAAGUGAUAACUUUCCUGCUCCCGCCCAGCGGAAGACUCGGCCCACUAAGUGGAUGACAGCAGAGCCACACCAAUCAACAUCAAUCAAACUCCACCCUCUGUUGUAAAGAUAUUGCAAUGACUGUACUGUAGAGGAGACCACGUGGAUUUCGAAUUAACUGAAGCAACUAUAUUUGUUGGGUUUAAGCAUGCGACUUGUAAAACAUUUCCAGGAAUAACAAUGUAUUUCUUAGAUGAAUAAUUUGGGCUUAAGGGAAAAUCUGCGAGUUAUUAAUUUGUCAAUCUCAGGUGCGCGGUUAAUCCGCAAAUCGGAUAAACUGCGUGCAGAUAAUCGAGAGAGUACUCGAGCUCCUGAAACCCGUUCGUAAGUCAAACUGUUUGUAAGUCGGAACACAAUCAUGAUGCACUAUUUCAAUGCCCCCAUACGAGCAAUGUUAUGAAAUGUGUUCCAGUUCAUAAGGGAAGCAUUGGUAAAAACGUAAGAGAUACUGUACAUUUGCAUGUAAUAUUGAAGAAAAACACUAGUAAAUAAAAUAACAUCGAAUUUUU